rnacentral:tRNA from 1 species
AGCAAUUUGGCGCAGUGGAAGCGCGCCGGGCUCAUAACCCGGAGGUCGCCUGAUCGAAACGGGCAAUUGCUA